UACGUAGGGGGCAAGCGUUGUCCGGAAUCAUUGGGCGUAAAGCGAGCGUAGGCGGCCCGAUAAGUCUGCUGUGAAAGUCAACGGCUCAACCGUUGAAAGCCGGUGGAUACUGUCGGGCUAGAGUUCGGAAGAGGCAAGUGGAAUUCUGGUGUGCGGUGGAAUGCGCAGAUAUCAGGAGGACACCCAUAGCGAAGGCAGCUUGCUGGGACGAUACUGACGCUAAGGCUCGAAAGCGUGGGGAGCGAACAGG
rnacentral:rRNA from 1 species